rnacentral:rRNA from 1 species
GAUGAACGCUGGCGGCGUGCUUAACACAUGCAAGUCGAGCGAGUGAGUUCUUCGGAACGAUCUAGCGGCGGACGGGUGAGUAACACGUGGGCAACCUGCCUCAUAGCGGGGAAUAGCCUCCCGAAAGGGAGAUUAAUACCGCAUAAAAUUAUCGAGUGGCAUCACAUGAUAAUCAAAGGAGUAAUCCGCGAUGAGAUGGGCCCGCGGAGCAUUAGCUAGUUGGUGAGGUAACGGCUCACCAAGGCGACGACGCGUAGCCGACCUGAGAGGGUGAUCGGCCACAUUGGGACUGGGACACGGACCAGAAUCCUACGGGAGGCAGCAGUGGGGAAUAUUGCACAAGGGGGGAAAGCCUGAUGCAGCAACGCCGCGGGAGUGGUGAAGGUCUUCGGAUUGUAAAGCGCUGUCUUGGGGGACGAUAAUGACGGUACCCAAGGAGGAAGCCACGGCUAACUACGUGCCAGCAGCCGCCGUAA